GGCGCUGUAGCUCAAGUGGUAGAGCGCUCGCCUUGAGCUGAGGCCCUGGGUUCGAUUCCCCAGCACCA
rnacentral:tRNA from 1 species